AUUAGAAAAAUAAAACCGAUUUUAUUAUUCGAUAAAACCUACUCUUCUAUUGAGUUAAUGAUAAUUAAUUGUGAAAAACCUCGUUCAUUUUCAUUUAAUAUUUUUUACAUAUUAUCAGUAUGUAUUUUGUACAUGCAUUUAUUAUUUUAUGUUCAUUUUCAAAAAAAUGUGUAUCCCAUGACAUGUAUCAAUUAAAUUAUCAUAAAGUUUUCGAAUAUUGCUUGAAAAAUCAACGUCUAAUGGGAUUGGUCUUACAAGGCAAUACAAUUUACACCGCGCCUGAGAUAAUGAACGAGACAGAUCCAAGCAAGUACAACGAUCGUUUGAAUAUUGAUGAGUCAGUUGAUUUCAGUAAACCAUACAGUGGCUCUGCUCCUAUUCGACAAUAUCAAGUAACAGCAGUUGCAGGGAAAACAUUGUUAGACAUUAUUAUUGAAACAAUUAUUGCUGAGAACUUUUUCGAAAGUAUGGUAUGGCUUAGAAAUGUCAUUGAAAGUGUUGCAAUUUCAGUAAUGAUUCGAUAUUGCGAAAUAACAAAAAAAAUUGUUUCUAAUACAUAUGUUAACAUACUAACUAUAUUUUCGAGGGAUUUAAUGUUUUUUUCUAAAAUAAAGGAAAUAUUUAUAGCCUACUAUUUACGCACUGAACCUAUAGACGCUUUAGAAGAAAUAUUGAAAUUUAGCAUGCAAAAUAAAAUGGAUACAUAUGAAAGAAAAUUAUAUGCUGAAAUGUGUAAUAUUUAUAUGAAUCGCUAUGAAAAAUGUGCAGGAUUGGUUGAUAUUAUAUUCGACUUACCAUCAAUUGAAAUAAUGGUAGGUGGUUAUAAAUUGAAGUCAGAACUUUUAUCCACAUUAAAUUUAUUACAAAAAUUACUGUUUGAUUCUGAUUAAACUAACACAUAAUAUCUAUUAUCUGGUAAAUAUAAUUAUAACGUUUGUUUUAGACUUAAUUUCUGUUCUUAUGUAUACUAACAAAUUUGAAAAAAGAAUUGUGUUAAUUAUAAAUAGUUUGACUCUUAUUUUAUUCAAUUAUUAAACGUAAUUAUAAUUCAUAACUAAUCAAAUGAAAUUGAUUACAAAUUUAUUAAAUGUAAAUUAAAAUAGAAUUUUUAUUAUAAUCAUGAUCGGUCAUUUUCUUAAUUAGAUCAUCAUCUUAUAUAUAAUCAAGUUAUGUGUGUUUGCAUUUUAAAAUUAAAGUCGAGAACUUAUUAAGGAAUAAGAAACGAACAUAAAAAAUACACAAUUAUUGAUAAAUUGAGAAAAACGUUGAACUAAAAGAAACCAUAUAUAAUUUAUAAUACAAUAACUGUUGUAGGCGUUAGUUAAUUGUUAUAUGUAGGCUGCCUGUGUGACGAGAAUACUCGAACGACAACUUUCCUAGUGAAAUCUCGUUUUUGCUGGUUCUUUGUGUAAAAUAAGUAAAGUUAAUAAAUUAAAUAAAAAAAAAUUAUUGACUGACUCUUUUCAGUUUACUUUUAACUUAUAUUAGUAGGUUUUAAAUCUAUCGUAAUAAUCAAUCAAUGAACAUAAUAUUAAUAUGAUAUAAUGGUGCUUCAACGGACAUUGAAUAAUGACAGAUUAAAAUCCAUCAGACAUCAACUUAGCCAAAUAUUACAAAAACUUGCUGUACAAUUACAUACAAUAAAUUACACAGUUGACGCAAUCAACUGUGUUCCAAUAUCACUUCAAAAAUAAGGUCAAAAGCUAAUAUAUGUUCAUGCACAAUAUAUAACGUGUUUAAAUAUGUCACACUAUAGAAACAAAAACCAACAACAACACCUUUAUCAAAUGCGACACGUCUUAUAAAUACGCCACAUAACACAAACAGUGUCCGUAAUUUUACUGCAGUUGCGCACAUUUGGAGUAUACGAGAACACGAGUAGGAGACCACUACACACACUACCCCAACAGUAAAACCGGUUAGGGUAGUUCGCGCUCAUGACGAUGAAAACCGAAACUAAUCGCACUGUUCUGCUUUGGCACGACCGAACACUACACAUCAUCUAAAUUAGAAAUAACAAUCUGUUAGUGAUUCUUCGGCACAGUGAAGUUUUCUUUAUUUUUAUGUUGUGUAGUUUGAAAGUUAAGUUCAUUUUAAAUGAUUUUUCGGAAAUUAAAUAGCUCAUAAAAUGCUAAUAAUUAUACAAUCGUUAUGAUUUCGCUUGCCUGAUUAUGUAAAAGCAUUUAGAGAAAAUAUUUAUUCAUCAGACGGGCUUAGUUUUAUUUUGUGAACUUUAAAGUGUCACAGUGUAGAUGAAAAAAAUGUACAAUAAAACAUAAUUUAUGGGAAAAACACAUUAGUGAAUAAAGAAAUACCCUAAUAAAUCAUAAACCUAAUAUUCUACCAAUCAAAUAAUUCUGAAAGAAGUUUCACUUCACCUGCGAGUACUCGUAAUACAAACUGGUUUUUUUAUAGUUUUCUAUACAAUAUAUUAAUGUAGCUUGAUAAUUAGUGCUUAUUUUAAUUAAUAUACAAAUAAAUAUAAAUGUAUUUAAUAAAAUAAAAUAUAAAACAUAUGUUGAACUUUAUUUUCGUAAAUUAAAGUGGAUUAAUUAAUUAAAAAUAUUUGUUACGUACAUAAUCAUAUGGUGUCUUUGUUGUGACCGCCCAAUCAAUAUGUGAAUGACCGCUGGUAAAAAUAACUGGACGAGUUCCACGCGACUCGAUAAAACAAGUCAUUAUUCAUUAGCAAUCAAACGCUCGCUUGAGUAUCGUUGAUACUGAACAGUAUAUUAUCGUUUUUCUUUUGUGCUCUUUUGAAGCAUUGCAAAGGUGUAUACGCCAAAAUUCGCCACCAUCGGGACGAGUUGACUUCAUUUCACGCCGUUGAACACUUUCUGUACCACGUCUCCUGUAAUUCGCAAUCCAGCCCCAAUCAAAGUUGUUGUCAUCCGUGGACAUAUAGGUCAUAUUUAUUGUAUAUUUUAUUGGUAAUUUGUGUAUGAAUAUAUUAAGUACGCCUGUGUAUGUAUAGCUUUAGUUAAUUUCUACUAACAUUAAUUUAAGAUUAUUUUAU